rnacentral:rRNA from 1 species
GAAACCCAAAAGAUCGAAUAGGGAGAUUCAUCGUCAGCUCAUUUUGUAUAUGUAUGAGUUAUGAUGCGAGUUACUACUUGUAGUAUUGCUUGCACAUUCUUAUAUAUUUAAUUGCAUUAUGUUGUCGGCGUGCACUUCUCCUUUAGUAGAACGUCGCGACUCAUUGUUUGUUGGUUUACGGCCCAAGUUAUUAGUCUUUAAUAUUUUAUUAUAUUAAAAAUUCUUGGUGCUUUCUAACCGGCUAUACAGUGGUAUUCAUAUGGUAAUAAGCCGCAAUUAUAUGCGUCCAUUUCCAUCGCAAGCAAGGCCAAUUUUUGGUAGUACGGACCAAGUGCCGUCGCUAGUAUUGGUCAGCUGUUGGCUGUUAUGGUAUUCUUGGACUGGCUGAAAAAAUAAUUACCGGUUAGCGAUGCUAUUGCUUUGGGUACUUUCAGGACCCGUCUUGAAACACGGACCAAGGAGUCUAACAUGUACGCGAGUCAUUGGGAUUUUUUUUUUAAAUUAAACCUAAAGGCGUAAUAAAAGUAAAGAUCGGCCUUGCGUUGAUCGAGGGAGGAUAAGUUGCAUUAUUAUGUAGCUUCGCACUCCCGGGGCGUCUCAUUCUUAUUACAAGAAGAGGCGCACUUAG